rnacentral:rRNA from 1 species
UACGAAGGGGGCUAGCGUUGCUCGGAAUGACUGGGCGUAAAGGGCGCGUAGGCGGACGGCUUUGUCGGGCGUGAAAUUCCAGGGCUUAACCUUGGGGCUGCGUUCGAGACGGGUUGUCUAGAGUUUGGAAGAGGGUCGUGGAAUUCCCAGUGUAGAGGUGAAAUUCGUAGAUAUUGGGAAGAACACCAGUGGCGAAGGCGGUUGCCUGGAGCUUUGCUGACGCUGAUGCGCGAAAGCGUGGGGAGCGAUCCGG